rnacentral:rRNA from 1 species
GAUGAACGCUGGCGGCGUGCCUAAUACAUGCAAGUCGAGCGAACAGAUGAGGAGCUUGCUCCUCUGACGUUAGCGGCGGACGGGUGAGUAACACGUGGAUGACCUACCUAUAAGACUGGGAUAACUUCGGGAAACCGGAGCUAAUACCGGAUAAUAUAUUGAACCGCAUGGUUCAAUAGUGAAAGACGGUUUUGCUGUCACUUAUAGAUGGAUCCGCGCCGCAUUAGCUAGUUGGUAAGGUAACGGCUUACCAAGGCAACGAUGCGUAGCCGACCUGAGAGGGUGAUCGGCCACACUGGAACUGAGACACGGUCCAGACUCCUACGGGAGGCAGCAGUAGGGAAUCUUCCGCAAUGGGCGAAAGCCUGACGGAGCAACGCCGCGUGAGUGAUGAAGGUCUUCGGAUCGUAAAACUCUGUUAUUAGGGAAGAACAAAUGUGUAAGUAACUAUGCCCGUCUUGACGGUACCUAAUCAGAAAGCCACGGCUAAAUACGUG